UUGAUGAUCCUUCUCUACCAGGCACCUGAUAUUUUAAGGGCCGCGGUAUUUUGACCGUGCGAAGGUAGCGUAAUCAUUAGUUUUUUAAUUGGAAUCUUGUAUGAAUGGUUAGACAAGGGAGAAUCUGUCUCUUUAUUAAAAAUUUAAUUUAACUUUUAAGUGAAAAGGCUUAAAUUAAUAAAAGGGACGAUAAGACCCUAUAAAGCUUAAUAUAAAAUGUUAUUCAAUUAAAUUAAAUAUAAGAAUUAUAUAACAUGGAUUAUUUUAUUGGGGCGAUAAGAGUAAAAAGUUUAAUAACUGCUUAAUGGAAAAAACACUUUAGUUGAAAUAAAAUUAUAAAAGAUCCUAAAUAUGGAUUAUAAGUUUAAGUUACUUUAGGGAUAACAGCGUUAUUUUUUUUGAGAGUACAUAUCGAAAAAAGAGUUUGCGACCUCGAUGUUGAAUUAAAAUUUCUUUAUAGAAGCAGAAACUAUAAAAGUUGGUCUGUUCGACCUUUAAAAUUUUACGUGAUCUGAGUUCAGACCGGGGGAUGGGGGGGAGGGAGGAGAGGGGGAAGCAACA
rnacentral:rRNA from 1 species